rnacentral:rRNA from 1 species
UACGUAGGGAGCAAGCGUUAUCCGGAAUUAUUGGGUGUAAAGGGUGCGUAGACGGGAGUCUAAGUUAGUUGUGAAAUCCCUCGGCUCAACUGAGGAACUGCAACUAAAACUGGACAUCUUGAGUGCAGGAGAGGAAAGUGGAAUUCCUAGUGUAGCGGUGAAAUGCGUAGAUAUUAGGAGGAACACCAGUGGCGAAGGCGGCCAACUGGGCUUUAACUGACGCUGAGGCUCGAAAGUGUGGGGAGCAAACAGG